rnacentral:rRNA from 1 species
CUUGCUUCUGACUUGAUAACAUUUGAGUGAGUGGCGGACGGGUGACGUAACACGUGGGUAACCUGGCCCUAAAGUGGGGGAUAACAUUUGGAAGCAGAUGCUAAUACCGCAUAAAACCUAGCACCGCAUGGUGCAAGGUUGAAAGAUGGUCUCGGCUAUCACUUUAGGAUGGACCCGCGGUGCAUUAGUUAGUUGGUGAGGUAAAGGCUCACCAAGACCGUGAUGCAUAGCCGACCUGAGAGGGUAAUCGGCCACACUGGGACUGAGACACGGCCCAGACUCCUACGGGAGGCAGCAGUAGGGAAUCUUCCACAAUGGACGAAAGUCUGAUGGAGCAACGCCGCGUGAGUGAAGAAGGUUUUCGGAUCGUAAAACUCUGUUGUUGGAGAAGAACGUAUUUGAUAGUAACUGAUCAGGUAGUGACGGUAUCCAACCAGAAAAGCCACGGCUAACUACGUG